GGCCUGUCCCCAAAGGUGUCACUUCGGUGGAGAUAAACUUUAUGGGCACUGGACUUUGACCACUUCAAUUUUGAUCACUUCCAUUCUAGGCUGUCAAGGAGCCACCACCAACCCAGGAAAGAGCACAGGAGCCUGAGGACACAUGUCCCAUGCAGACAUGCCCCACGGUGAUUGUCCCCUGUGGGUGCCAAGGCGGCAGGAUGAAACGGAUGGAGGGGAGAUGCAUCAAUGUCGCCCUAAUGAACCCCCAGAGUGGGCAGUUGCCCUGCAGCCCCACGAUCUACGUUCAGCCCAGCCUGGAGUGCUUCCCCAUCAAGAACUUCUGCUCACGGUGCCAAACCCCGCCGUCCACGUGCCCCAGGCUUCCCACCAGGAUGGUGCCGAUGAUCUGCCCUCCUGCCCACUAGCACCCUGGUGUCCUGAGGGAGUGGCCACGAUGUGUCCCACUCCCAACAGCUGGGUCUUCAUCUUUCACCAAGGGCUGGGAUGCGUGCGGUUACAGCCAAACUCUGCCUUUUGAACAAAGCCCAAAACAUCCCUGAAAUAUUAGUACAAUCCUGUGUCUCCUUCCCUAAUUUUAUGCAGAGAGGAGUACUUGAAUUUCUCACCUCCUUCGCUCUGUUUU